rnacentral:rRNA from 1 species
GACGAACGCUGGCGGCGUGCUUAACACAUGCAAGUCGAACGUGAUUUUUGUGGAAAUUCUUUCGGGAAUGGACAUGAAAUGAAAGUGGCGAACGGGUGAGUAACACGUGAGCAACCUACCUUACACAGGGGGAUAGCCGUUGGAAACGACGAUUAAUACCGCAUGAGACCACAGAAUCGCAUGAUAUAGGGGUCAAAGAUUUAUCGGUGUAAGAAGGGCUCGCGUCUGAUUAGCUAGUUGGAAGGGUAAAGGCCUACCAAGGCGACGAUCAGUAGCCGGUCUGAGAGGAUGAACGGCCACAUUGGAACUGAGACACGGUCCAAACUCCUACGGGAGGCAGCAGUGGGGAAUAUUGCACAAUGGGGGGAACCCUGAUGCAGCGACGCCGCGUGAGCGAAGAAGGUUUUCGAAUCGUAAAGCUCUGUCCUAUGAGAAGAUAAUGACGGUAUCAAAGGAGGAAGCCCCGGCUAAAUACGUG